GUAGGUCCCCACUAUGUGUUUACCACUAUGACAGGGUAGGUACCCUCUAUAUGUGUUUACCACUAUGACAGGGUAGGUCCCCACUGUAUGUGUUUACCACUAUGACUGGGUAGGUCCCCACUGUAUGUGUUUACCACUAUGACAGGGUAGGUCCCCACUAUGUGUUAACCACUAUGACAGGGUAGGUCCCCACUAUGUGUUUACCACUAUGACAGGGUAGGUCCCCACUAUGUGUUUACCACUAUGACAGGGUAGGUCCCCACUAUGUGUUAACCACUAUGACAGGGUAGAUCCCCACUAUGUGUUAACCACUAUGACAGGGUAGAUCCCCACUAUGUGUUAACCACUAUGACAGGGUAGAUCCCCACUAUGUGUUAACCACUAUGACAGGGUAGGUCCCCACUGUAUGUGUUUACCACUAUGACAGGGUAGGUCCCCACUGUAUGUGUUUACCACUAUGACUGGGUAGGUCCCCAC
ensembl:lncRNA